rnacentral:other from 1 species
UUUGUCCUGCCCUGAUGGUGAUUAAGAUGAGAAAGUUGAUCCGGCAAGUUAGAUCUUUAGGGAGCCUGCGUAAGGGAUGUGGUGUGCAUGCCGAGCACCAGCUCCUGAUCAAUUUCCAGGUGGCCUUAAUAUUGAGGAGCCUGCUGUCAGAAGCUGGUGCUCGGAAGCCUAAGCACCCUUCAGGGCACCCACCUGCAAACAGGGGAUCUAAUUUUUCAUCUACACCUCAGGGCGGGUCAGUU